rnacentral:rRNA from 1 species
AGCUUACCACACUGAACGUGCCCAGUCUUGUCAGAUCUUGGAAGCUAAGCAGGGUCGGGCCUGGUUAGUAUGUGAAUGUGGUGCGUUAAUUAAAAGUUAGUUAGAUU